ensembl:snRNA U1 U1 spliceosomal RNA
ACACUUACCUGGCAGGAGAGAUACCAAGAUCACAAAGGUGGUUUUCCCAGUACAAGGCUUAUCCAUUGCACUCUGGAUGUGCUGACCCCUGUGAUUUCCCCAAAUUCGGGAAACUUGACUGCAUAAUUUGUGGUAGUGGGGGACUGCGUUCGCACUCUCCCCUA